UACGAAGGGGGCUAGCGUUGCUCGGAAUCACUGGGCGUAAAGCGCGCGUAGGCGGAUUGCUAAGUCAGGGGUGAAAUCCUGGAGCUCAACUCCAGAACUGCCUUUGAUACUGGCGACCUUGAGUCCGGGAGAGGUGAGUGGAACUGCGAGUGUAGAGGUGAAAUUCGUAGAUAUUCGCAAGAACACCAGUGGCGAAGGCGGCUCACUGGCCCGGUACUGACGCUGAGGUGCGAAAGCGUGGGGAGCAACAGG
rnacentral:rRNA from 1 species